GUCAGGGGCGGAGGAGUGAUCCCCAGCAGGUAGAAGGUCAGGGGUUGAGGAGUGAUCCCCAGCAGGUAGAAGGUCAGGGGCUGAGGACUGAUCCCCAGCAGGUAGAAGGUCAGGGGCGGAGGAGUGAUCCCCAGCAGGUAGAAGGUUUCUCUUAGGGGAUGAAAAUGUUUUGAAAUAGAUUAUCGUGUUGGUUACGCAACUCUGUGAAUAUGCUGAAAUUAAUUCAAUUGUACAUUGUAAAUGGGUGAAUAGUGUCUCCAUAAAGCUAUUUAAACAAAAGAAGAUGCAAAGUGAGUGUAGGUUCCAUGACUAUUGAAUGAGUAGAAAAUUAAGAUUCUUCACAAAGACAAAGCAAAUUCAUAGGUUAAAAAACUAAAAUCUUAGAAAGUGUUAGGAAUACUGAUUCAAUUUCUGAAAGUAUGGGUAUGAAAGCUGCUCAAUUCUAAUUCCACAGACAGUGGAAAUAUGAGCCUAAAACCCCACUGUUGCUGAUCAGCAUGUGGGCCAGACAGACAGGGAGGCAUGUGGAGAAGAGGCAGGAAGAAGGGUGGAGAGGCAUGAGAGAGCCUCUUUCCCUGGUGAUAAUACAUCUUGCAGCAGAGACUCAAGUCCUUGCUGUGGAAGGGUGAGAAUAGGGACAGACCGUAGCCGCCAUGAGGAGGCGGAGCUGGCGUGUGUGCGCCUCAUCAUGCACAGUACGGGGCUUGCAGCACUGGGAAGGGCAUCACCGUUUUGCUGAUUAAAAUUAAGAAGUCAGAAUAUACAACUAUGCGUUCAGAAUGUUUGGAAAAUUGCCUUAUGAGUAAUAACUAGAACAGAUUUGUAGCCCAAAGAAGACAGAACAGAAUAAAUAAAUGUGUGUUGAUAAUUGAGGAGGAGCUAUGCUGGCUGCAGAGCUGACCAAGGGUGGCAAGCAACUUUUACUUUAAAAUUGCCUGAAAGCAGGAGUCUCUUGU
rnacentral:lncRNA from 10 species